GACGACGCUGGCGGCGUGCCUAAUACAUGCAAGUCGAACGAGUGGCGGACGGGUGAGUAAUGUCUGGGAAACUGCCUGAUGGAGGGGGAUAACUACUGGAAACGGUAGCUAAUACCGCAUACCAUCGGAUGUGCCCAGAUGGGAUUAGCUAGUAGGGGGGGUAACGGCUCACCUAGGCGACGAUCCCUAGCUGGUCUGAGAGGAUUAGCAGUCACACUGGAACUGAGACACGGUCCAGACUCCUACGGGAGGCAGCAGUGGGGAAUAUUGGACAAUGGGCGAAAGCCUGAUCCAGCCAUGCCGCGUGUGUGAAGAAGGUCUUCGGAUUGUAAAGCACUUUAAGUUGGGAGGCGUUACCAACAGAAUAAGCACCGGCUAACUUCGUGCCAGCAGCCGCGGUAAUAC
rnacentral:rRNA from 1 species